rnacentral:sRNA from 1 species
UUGCGCCUGCGGCGGACCCGGCACAGACGAUUUCCGUGCGAUCGCAGAACGGAGGCUUCGCAGGCAGCCUGCCUGUGUACGGUCUUGUCAUUCCCGGAAUUAUCCGGGAUUUAAUAUCUUCU